UGUCCAACUACUCCUAUUUCUACCUCCUCGCGGUACUGGCUGGGGUACGAGCCUGUAAACCUGAGGGAAGAUCGGGUAACCAACCCCGGUGGGAAAUUUGGUCGUGUGCUGACAGAGAAGG
rnacentral:ribozyme from 1 species